UGGUUCUCGCAUCGAUGAAGAACGCAGCGAAAUGCGAUACGUAAUGUGAAUUGCAGAAUUCAGUGAAUCAUCGAAUCUUUGAACGCACAUUGCACUCUAUGGUAUUCCGUAGAGUAUGCCUGUUUCAGUAUCAUGAACACCUCACUACUAUAACUUUUUGUUGUAAUAGUGGACUUGGAAUGCGCUGAUGUCAAUCAGCCCUUCUAAAAUGGAGUUCUUGCACUGUUGAUUUGUUUUAACAGCAUAUUGGCCUAAUAAGUUUCGGCAGUAAUGUUGAAAUCACUGGCUUCUUUUGCUUAGAAUCUGACAGUCUUGAUAUACAGAAUUUUCGAGGAGACUUGUCUCCUCUUCAAAUUUUGAUCUGAAAUCAGGUAGGAUUACCCGCUGA
rnacentral:misc_RNA from 1 species